AUUUCGAAAGCCAAGCAAGAUACGGAAUAAUUGUAAAGGAAGUUUAUAUAUCGUUUUAAAUGUUCUUUCAAAUAAGACAAACUUAAUUUAUAUUGCCAUAUCCCUUUAAUAAUAAUCUCACCUACUCCCCAACCGUGUGGAAUGAUAGAAGUCUGUUUUCCACGAGGCGAAUUUGUUUGCGCGAAGCAAAUUUUUCUUCUGUCAACAUCGCUUAUCACGUCAGCAACAACGAUGUUAACAGGAAAAAGUCGCUUCGCGUGAAUAAAUUCGCCUCGUGGAAAAGGGCUUAAAGCCCGUUUUCCACUAGGCGAAAUAGUUCGCGCGAAGCGUCAGGUGAAAAAGUAGGAACAUAUUGAAAUUUCUCUUCGCGCUAACAAAUUUGCCUAGUGGAAAACGGGCAUAAAUACUAUUGUAAAGCUCGCUGCGAAUACUUCGCAGCGGGCUUGCGAACUGGUUAUUGCGAUGAGACCGUAUAGUUAAUAGAGUACAUGGUUUGGAAACUCGAUGGGAUUACAGUACAACUCAUUAUUAACUAUGUCGUCUAGGUUUAUGAAAAAAUCUGGUCCUUCGUCGUCAUGUGCGCGUAUUGUAUUUUAGCCUAAUCAACCAAUAGCAAUGUUUAAAUUAACUCGUGGUUCAAGUCACGGAUGGAUAACUAAGCCAAAACAACAUUAUUGGUUGUUUGGACGAAAAUACAAUACGCGCCGGACGACGAAGGACCAUAUUUUUGCAUAAAUCUGGACAAAAACAUAGAUGAGUUGCAUUGUACUUACAUGGAGUUUCCAAACCAUGUAUUCUAUUAACUAUGGUGGAACAGAACCUUAAGGAGGCCCCCACAGCUUCAAAUAUAUAUCAGUGUUUUUAACUAAAAGCUCUUUAAAAGGUUUAUAGGCUGAGAAAACUCUAUUGCAUAAGCCUUGUUUCUUCGUAUAUCAAAGAGUAAUUUUAACACAAUCGUUACUGUUGACGUUACCAUGGCAACAUGACGUCACCACUUAUCUAGCCUAUAUCAGCCAAAAAAGCCAUCAUAGCGGGAAAAUAAUAACGGUGACCUACUUUUAUUAUUGCAGAAAGUACGUUAUUAUUACUUUCCGAAAACCGCUAGUGUUGUUUUCACAAAAACUACAUUGGCGAUUUUCAAAAAACUUGAAUGUCAUAAUAGUUUUCUGCAAUAAAAAGUCACCGUUCUUAUUGUUUCGCUAUGAUCAUGGCGCUUUUUUGGCUGAUACAGGCGAGGUAAAUGGUAACGUCAUGUUGCCAUAGUAACGUCAAGAGUAACGAUGUGUGUUAAAAUUACUCUUUGAUAUACGAGGAAACAAAGGCGUGUGCAAGAAAAUGAGGUUUUUCAGCCUAUAACCUUUAAAGAGCUUUUAGUUGAGAACACUGAUAUAUAUUAGAAACUGUAGGGAGCCUCCUUAAGGUGGAUUUCCACUUAUAGAGAAAACUUUCAUCGUCGAAAUAUUUCGCUUGAUUUCUUUCAAUUUUGACCAUGCGACUAAUCGAGCGAAAAAUUUCGACAACGAAAUUUUUGUUGCAAGUGGAAAUCCAGCUUUAAGUAUAGAAAUUAUAAAAGAAUAGAGUGGAAAUCCAGCUUUAAGCAUAGAAAUUAUAAAAGAAUAGAGUGGGCAUUUCAGGAAAGGUUCAGGGAAACGAAAGGGACAAAUUGAAGCUUGCUAAUGGGGGAAAAUGUGAGUUAUACUUGUUGAUUUUGAGCUUUUAAUCAUUGCUUGAACCAUGCUAAAACUCUGGAAAAAAUAGAUGUUUUCAAAGUUGUGUUAUUUAGAAUUUACAUCCGGGCAACGAGAUUUUAGCCAAUCAGAGAGCGUUAUUUGCCCCCAUUAACAAGCUUUAAUUUCUUUUAUAAUCUCUAUGGCUUUUAGACCGUUUUCCACUUCAAUCAUACCGAGGCGUAACGUAUUUCUUUAUUUGAUUGGAUACAAAAGAAAAUGCCACGACACGUUACGGUUGAAGUGGAAAACGGCCCGUGGAAAAGUAGCAAACGCAUUACGUAGGGCGUCUGGCGAACGCCUACGUUUCGACCGCAUACAUAUUUUUGGUGGCUCCCUACUGUUUUUUGCGGCUGGAAAAUUUUCAGUUUGGUGCGGAAUUUUUGAACAGUUGUUACUUGUUGGAAAAACAAUAGUAUAAAAUUUUUACCACAAAUGGCGUCAUUGCUAUGGUAGCCAAGUAAAAAAUCGGCCAUGUUGAAACGUCAUUGACUAAUUUAACUCGAAAAAAACAACGUGCAUGACCACCAUUUUUUGUUUUGAUUUUAUUUCGACUAGUGAAAAUAAUUAUUUAGUGAUCUUUUAUCGCCAGAUUUUUUCAAAUUAAAUAUUUUUAUCAAUUAGUUUUAUUAUAAUUAGAUAAAAAAAUUCUACACUGGUGAUUUUUUUAAAAGUUGGCUAAAUAAUUACUUUCACUAAUUGAAAACGUUUAGCAAAAUAAAAAAAGGGGGUCGCCGUUGUUAUUUUCGAGUUAAAUUGGUUUAAAACCAAAAAAUCGGCCAUAUUGAAACGUCAUGGUUACCAGAACUUUUGUACUCUUCAGGUAGGAUUUUCUAUAAUAUUUGCUUUUCAACAAGUAUAACAAAUGUCCAAAAAUGGUAAAUUUUCCAGCAACCUUUGGGGUAAAAAACUGUAUAUACGGGCCAUCCAGAAUGAAGGAACACCAAAUGUUUUCCGUGCAGGAUAUAGCGGAUAAUCCGUGCAAGCAGGUGGGAUGUUGCGAGACUUGUUCGAAAGUCGAGCAACAUCUCAAGUGCAUGAAUGACGCUAUCUUGCACGGAAAACCAUUUGGUAAAGGUACAUUUACACGCUGCGAUUAAUCGGGCCGAUUGCAGGUUUUGCUGAAUGUUAAUGACAGAAUGUUGUCAUUUGACAAUGUCGUCAGAUAACGUUAUUGACAGCCUAUAUUUCAAAUAUCAUUUAAUUAAAGCUGAAUCGGCCCGGUUAAUCGCAGCGUGUAAACGUACCUUAAUUGUUUUAUAAAAUAACUACAGUGAAACAAUGCGGGUUAACUUUAUCAACGUUAACUUUAUUUAAACGGUUAACUUUGUUAAUUCUAUUAGAACUUAACGUUUUGGUAACUCUCAACCUUUUAAAUUGUAUGUCAGUUCACUGUAGUUAUUAUAUAAAAUCUACAAUCUUUGACAAUAUAUAUUGGGACAACCUAGUUUUCACAUGCAUUCAGAUGUAUUAUACCAUUUCUUGAUACAUUUUUUAAACCUUCCCUCUACCUGUUUCAAUGUUGGCGUUUCCUAACCAGACAUCAGAUUUUUGUCGGCCCAACAUUGAACUGGGGGAACAGGGGAUCGUGUGAAAUUACAAUACCUGUCCCAUAGUUUUUGCCAACGAUUGUAGUAUAUCCCACAUUUUAGGCCGUUUGCCGUGACCCGAUAUCGUUCACUUUCAUUAAGCAUGUCGUGGAACUGAAAUAUUUUCACGGUAACUAACAUUUUAGAACACGCUGAAUUCAAAUCCGAAAAGUUGCCGCUCCGUAGACCCGCAG